rnacentral:rRNA from 1 species
CGCCUGGGGAGUACGGCCGCAAGGUUAAAACUCAAAUGAAUUGACGGGGGCCCGCACAAGCGGUGGAGCAUGUGGUUUAAUUCGAUGCAACGCGAAGAACCUUACCUACUCUUGACAUCCAGAGAACUUAGCAGAGAUGGUUUGGUGCCUUCGGGAACUCUGAGACAGGUGCUGCAUGGCUGUCGUCAGCUCGUGUUGUGAAAUGUUGGGUUAAGUCCCGCAACGAGCG